GAGAGGAGGUGGUGACUCUCUGCUCAGCUAUCAGUGUCUUCAAAGAGAGGAGGCCAGCUUUAUUCACUGAGACUCAAAUCAAAGAGGAGUUCCGUCGGAUAACAACUAUUUCCCUGGAAGAAACAUUCAUGUUUAAGCUUGACAGUUACACACCUCGUCUUCUGCAGCUGAUGCGUCCCAAAAGAGGUGCUGUUGGUACCAGGAUGCGCUCUCUACUUAACACUGUAAAUGAGUCUCAGAGUAUUGAGAAUAAAAGGGAUGCAGUGCUCUCCUGCCUCAUUGAGUACCUAGGGGAGCCACAAGAAGAGCUCUUCCAAGAAAGCCUCAAAAUUAAACUCAUGGA